GUCUCACUGAGUUGCUUAGUGCCUCACUGUUGCUGAGGCUGGCUUUGAACUCUGUGAUUCUCCUGCCUCAGCCUCUGAAGCUGCUGGGAUUACAGGUGUGCGACACCACACCUGGCUCAGGCAGUGUUAUUGAUGAUGAGUGACAUUUCCAUGAGCAGAGGUCUCGGGGUCAACUUACCUGUUCUGCUCUCCUGGGGUAUGGUACCUUGAAUCAGGUCCUCAAAUGUGCUGUUCAUCCCCCUCAUUUUCUCUCCAACUCCUAAGUGUCCUUCGGGUCACAGGUUAAAUGUUACUUUCACCAAAGGCUUCUUAUUCCCUGGCAAAUCUGAUGAGAAGUUUUCCCCCUGUGCUUCCCAUGACUCUGCCUGUGAGUCAUGACGUGCAUCCUAUGUCAUCCUAUCCAUUGUCAUUGCUCAUGAAAAUGAAUGCAUACCAAAAUAACUGGAGGGCUGGGGUUGUGGCUCAGUGGUAGAGCGCUCGCCUAACACACGUGAGGCACUGGGUUUGAUCCUCAGCACCACAUAAAAACAAGUGAACAAAAUAAAGGUUUGAUGUCCACCUACAACUAAAAAAGUGAAAGAAAGAAAAUGACAAGGCUCCCCAUGUGGAAGAUUCCAUAGUAUCUUGAGGCACCUGCUCUGUGGUCUGCUUCAGAAAACUUGAAUUUAAAGAAAAUCUUUGUGCAAAUGUUUCCCUUUCUGCUUCUCCCAUGGACAUAACACCUGUUCUCCUUAUUAUAUAUAUUCAUUCUCACUAACCCCUGUCUCACUUUUUCUUUUUCUUAAUUUUCUCUGUCUUGUUUCCCUCCUCUAUUCUAUCCUCUUUAAUCAACUGCAGAACACAUAACCGACCAGUAUUCAUGAACAAAUCCUUCGAAGGCAGCAAGAUCCCAAUCUUUGGCUGCUUUCCCAGUGACCAGAGAGGAUGCAUGGCCCUCAAAAGGGAGCCGACAACUCCCAGAGGCCAACCUGAGAGUGACCCUGAAGCCAAUGGGCAUGCAUCUUCUCUCCUCCAAUGAAGAUGGGAGUUUGCACUCUGCUGAGUCAUCUGACCCCCCACAGAAAAUUCAGAAAGUAAAAGCACAAGAGGCACACAGGGGCCCAGAGCAGACUGAGCAAAUCUGUGCACUUACCCAGGCCAAUUCUCUACAUUUAUAAGAAGAAAGAUGAUACAUAUCAGAAAUAUCGGGACCCCCCUUUCAAACCUGGAUUUCAGAAUGGCUCUGCGGUACACCUCCCUUUCACCCCAGGUCCCUGCAAAUGUGGUUGGUGGUUACUGAUGGCCCUUUGCCUCCAGCUCAUUGGGUGAGAAAAUAUGGAAUCCUGUGUCUUUAAGAACUGAAACCAUCUAGAAACAGGAUUUGAUACCCUGUAGGAGACAGGAGACUUCCCUUUUGCUGUUCAAGUUUCAUCUUCAGUUAUCAGGAACUGAGCGGGGGGCAACGGGACUCGGAGCUGCAGCAGUGCAGGCCUGCGAAGCUGCUGGUCUCUGGAGAUGAAUACACUCUUCUUUCUCUUUGAAUGUACCUCACCACAGUGAAAAAUACGUUUAAGAAAGUCCCUGGUUGACUCUGCACGUCCCAUGGGUUCGCUAGAAGAGGGGAGCACCAGGUCUCAUCCCAGAUGCCCGCCUGUCCUGUCAAUCUCUGGAGCUCCCCGUAUCUGGAGCAUCCUCUGUGUGCCUGGGGCCCAGUCCCAGUCUGUGCUCGGUGAGGGCAAGCUCACCUACGGCACAGUCGAGGACCCUCUGUUGGAAGGAUUUGCAGGUCACAUGGUUCAAGUUGUUCCUUUUAUAGCUGGAGCAGUUGGGACCCAAGAUGCCAGAGGUAUGCCCCUCCCGACAGUCACGGUGCACAGGGUCAGGGAUCCCAGUACCCUGACUGCCUGUGCUGUGGUUUUCCUGACAUUCCAUGCAGUCACCCAGGCACGGCUUGACACGAGGUGUUCCAGAUGUGGUCCUGCUGGAGACUACACCCAUCGUCCAUUCUCUACCCUUCUCUUCCCAUGUGCCUGCCCCUGAUGGCUAGAUUCCAAAUGGCAUUUGUGGGAGGCACCCGCAGGAGACUGGGAGGUGGAAGGAGGGAGCAGUCUGUGGGGUGUUUCUUGCUUUCCUUUCCCUGCCACAGUCUUCCAGGACCACGGCUUCUCCUGGAGCCCAGCCCCUGUUUCCAUUAGCCCCAGGAAUCCCAUCCUCGCCCUCCGCCCCUCCAGGCCCACAUGUGGUAAUAGCUCCCGACUGUUGGCAGCCUCCCGUGCUCCACAUCCCUUGUUGGGUCCCUAACUGGCCCACAUCUCUCUAAAUCAUCCCUUCAUCCAAACCUCUAUAGUCCCCAUGUUCCCUGAGUACCACUAAUGUUGACCUUCAUCGGAUUUUAUUGGGAAUAUCUUCUUCCCUGGCCUAUCUCACCCUCUGGUCUCUCCACCCACCUCCAGAUUAUCUGUCUAGAAGUCAAAUCUGAUAGUGUCUCUCCCCCACUGAAAAAUCUUCUGUGGCUGUGGUGCUGAAAACCAACCCUGCCUGGCCAAAGAAGGCCCUUCCCCAUCUGGUUCUAGUCUAACCUAUUCUCCCAGCAGCAAAUCUGGAAGACCAAGGGAAUGAAGCCGACCGUGGGAGGAGACAAGACAGGAUGGAGGCAUAAGGGAAUGGACAUUAAGGAUGUAGGGGUUCCUGCUGCCGAGUCCAGGAGAGGAGACUGACAUGCAAGCCCUCCUGACCCACAUGCAAGCCCUCCUGACCCUGUGAGGUCCCACCCAGGGCUUCCAUGAGACUGUAUCCUAAGCAGUUCCACAGGCAGGGUCCUCAUCUGACCAAGUGGGAUGUACUUUAGUUCCUUGUGAUCAGCGAAGCCUGAUCUCUUUCCUCAACAUCUCCAUUUGGUAAGUUCUUAGUCAUCUUUGAACUUCCAGCUCAGACAUUACCUCCUUUGAGGAGCUCCCUUGAGUCACCCAAUCACAGCUCUCCUUUCUUCCUCUCUGUGUUGUAGAGCCCUGUGUGUCUCUGUCACAGGAGGGGUCUUAUUGUACUCUAUUUUAGAUUCACUGUACUCUUUCAAAAGUUCUACAUAAAUUUUACGUAGCUUGUCAGCAUUUAAAAAUCCCUCUUUUUUUAAAACAGGAUUGCUUCUAUAGAUGAAGUGGGGGAGAGAUGACAUCUUGUUGGGACUGAGUCUUCUGGUCCAAGAACGUGAUACCUCUGUUCAUUUACUGAAAUAUUCUUUAGUUUGUUCAGUCAUGUUUUAUAAUACACAGAGUAGAGGUUUUCACAGAUUUCAUGAAAUGUGUCCUUAAGUAUGAUAUGCUUUUCUUGAUGUUGUUGUAAAUGGGAUUUAUAAAGUUUUAAUUUUUCACCUGUUCUUUGCUGGUAUGUUUGUGGUAUUCUUCUGUUUUCUGUUGCUAUAACAAAGUACCUGACACUAGGUUCUUGAUAGAGAAAAAAGAUUUGGACUGGGUUGUAGCUCAGUGAUAGAGUGUGUACUUAGCAUGUGCAAGGUCCUAGGUUCAAUCUCCAGCACCAAAAAUGAAAAAGAGAGAGAGCCAGGCAUGGUGGCACAUGCUUAUAAUCCCAAUGGCUUGGGAGGCUGAGGAUGGAAGAUCACAAGUUCAAAGCCAGCCUCAACAAUUUAGUGAAGCUCUCAGCAAUUCAGUGAAACCAUAUGUCAAAAUAAAACACAGGGGCUGGGGUUAUGGCUCAGCAGUAGAGCGCUCGCCUCACACAUGCAAGGUCCUGGGUUCGACCCUCAGCACCACAUUAAUAAAUAAAUAAAUAAAUAAAUAAAAGUUUAAAAAAAAAAAAAAAAACACAAAAGGGCUGGGGGACCCUCUGGUCCAUGACAUCACAGUGGCAGGAGCACAUGUAAGAACAAUCUCAUGGCAAGAUAGGAAGCUAGAGAGACUGAGGUGGGACCAGGAUUGCUCUUUUUUAUGCAACCCAUUCUUGAGGGACCUAACUAGGGUCCUUCAAGAUUUAGGUUAAUUUCUUCCCAGGGCAGUUCCCCCAGUGACCCAAUCACCUUUCCCCAGGUUCCCACUCUUAAAGGUCCCGCACCUCCCAGCAUGGUCACUCUGAGGACCAGGCUUCCAACACGAACCCUGGAGAGACACCUGCAAACCAUGUCCUAAUCAGAGCAUUUUGUAGAUGGGCCUCCUGUCCUUUAACCAGACUAAAGUCACUUGUAGCAGGUUUGGGUUUCUUUCGUUCCUUUUUUUAGAUUCCAUACGACUUUCUGUGUACAAAAUUAUGCUGCCUCAAAACAGAAAAAAGGUUUGCUUUUUUAUUUCCAAACUUGAAGCAUUUUAUUCCCUUGUCUUGCCUCAUAUGUUGCUGGGUUCCAGUAUAAUAUUUAGUAGAUGGGCUGCUGUCUAUCUUAGGGAAAAGCAUCUGGUCGCUCACUGUUGAUAACGUGGUUAAUUAUAGUUUUUUC
rnacentral:lncRNA from 1 species